AGCGAACGCUGGCGGCAGGCCUAACACAUGCCAGUCGAACGAACCUUUCGGGGUUAGUGGCGGACGGGUGAGUAACACGUGGGAACGUGCCUUUAGGUUCGGAAUAACUCAGGGAAACUUGUGCUAAUACCGAAUGUGCCCUUCGGGGGAAAGAUUUAUCGCCUUUAGAGCGGCCCGCGUCUGAUUAGCUAGUUGGUUGAGGUAAUGGCUCACCAAGGCGACGAUCAGUAGCUGGUCUGAGAGGAUGAUCAGCCACAUUGGGACUGAGACACGGCCCAAACUCCUACGGGAGGCAGCAGUGGGGAAUCUUGCGCAAUGGGCGAAAGCCUGACGCAGCCAUGCCGCGUGAAUGAUGAAGGUCUUAGGAUUGUAAAAUUCUUUCACCGGGGGCGAUAAUGACGGUACCCGGAGAAGAAGCCCCGGCUAACUUCGUG
rnacentral:rRNA from 1 species